GAAAUGCGAUAAGUAAUGUGAAUUGCAGAAUUCAGUGAAUCAUCGAAUCUUUGAACACACCUUGCGCUCCUUGGUAUUCCUUGGAGCAUGCCUGUUUGAGUAUCAUGAAAUCUUCAAAGUAAAUCUUUUGUUAACUCAAUUGGUUUCUACUUUGGUAUUGGAGGUCUUUGCAGCUUCACACCUGCUCCUCUUUGUUCAUUAGCUGGAUCUCAGUGUUAUGCUUGGUUCCACUCGGCGUGAUAAGUUAUCUAUCGCUGAGGACACUGUAAAAGGUGGCCAAGGUAAAUGCAGAUGAACCGCUUCUAAUAGUCCAUUGACUUGGACAAUACUUUUAUGAUCUGAUCUCAAAUCAGUUAGGACUACCCGCUGAACUUAAGC
rnacentral:misc_RNA from 1 species